CGGCUAGGAUCAGGCGCUGCCCAAGGGGCAGUGUUACCAUGGGUAAUAAAAACUUGCUGCGUUUUAGGGUAUGGUGGGCGCAUUCACGACGGUGUGUCGCAUUUUAAAUUUUUGGGAGGAUUGAUAGAUUGAGACCACUUUCUUGAUUCGGUGGAUGGUGGUGCAUAUCCGUUCUUAGUUGGUGGAGCGACUUGUCUGGUAAAUUCCGAUAACAAACGAGACUCUAUCCUAUUAAAUAGGUGCGUGGUUCUCUGCACCUUGCACCCUUAGAGGGACAAGCAGCUCCUGGCCGCACAAAAAAAGACCAAGAACAGGUCUGUGAUGCGCUUACAUAUUGGGGGCCGCACGCGCGCUCCACUGAAGGAAGCAGCGUCUUUUUAUCCCUGUCUGUGAAGACAGUAAGCUUAGAAAAAUGUGACUUCCCUAUUGAAAAAGGCCAAUAUGAAGUCAGCUUAUUGGAAAUAUUGUAUUCCAAUGAAGA
rfam:Ixodes scapularis strain Wikel colony gcontig_1108379874996, whole genome shotgun sequence.